rnacentral:rRNA from 1 species
CCUACGGGAGGCAGCAGUGAGGAAUAUUGGUCAAUGGGCGCGAGCCUGAACCAGCCAAGUCGCGUGAGGGAAGACGGUCCUAUGGAUUGUAAACUUCUUUUGUCUGGGAGCAAAAGAUUCCACGCGUGGCGUUCCGAGUGUACCCGAAGAAUAAGCAUCGGCUAACUCCGUGCCAGCAGCCGCGGUAAUACGGAGGAUGCGAGCGUUAUCCGGAUUUAUUGGGUUUAAAGGGUGCGCAGGCGGAAGGUCAAGUCAGCGGUAAAAUUGAGGGGCUCAACCUCUUCGAGCCGUUGAAACUGGUAGUCUUGAGUGAGCUAGAAGUGUGCGGAAUGCGUGGUGUAGCGGUGAAAUGCAUAGAUAUCAAGAAGAACUCCGAUUGCGAAGGCAGCAUACCGGCGCUCAACUGACGCUCAUGCACGAAAGUGUGGGUAUCAAACAGGAUUAGAUACCCGAGUAGUC